rnacentral:tRNA from 1 species
GCCAGGAUGGUGAAAUUGGUAGACACGCAGGAUUUAGGAUCCUGUGGCCGCAAGGCCUUGGAGGUUCGACCCCUCUUCCUGGCA